UACGUAGGGCGCGAGCGUUGUCCGGAUUUAUUGGGCGUAAAGAGCUCGUAGGCGGCUUGUUGCGUCGUCCGUGAAAACCUGUGGCUCAACCACAGGCUUGCGGUCGAUACGGGCGGGCUGGAGUUCGGUAGGGGAGACUGGAAUUCCUGGUGUAGCGGUGAAAUGCGCAGAUAUCAGGAGGAACACCGAUGGCGAAGGCAGGUCUCUGGGCUAUAACUG
rnacentral:rRNA from 1 species